GACCUCAGGAGGGUGGGGAGCUCUGCUUGGUGCAGCAGCAGCAGGGGCCUGAGCAGAAGGCAGUGGCAUCUCUUUGGGGAAGUGGGGCGCUCUCAAGGAUGGAUAUUUCCAAGCUGUCCAUUGCAGGUUAAAGAUCCUAAAAGAACCCAUGAAAACAAACACCCUUCAGCCACUCUUCUGUACCCCACACAUCAUAUUCAAUAUACAGUGUCCUAUCGGCCAGUCGUUUUGCCCAGAUUCUAAAGCAUCUGUGAAAGAGAAGCCCUACGUCCAAUCAACGCUUUCAUAUACAGCAGAAGCAGUGGUUAUUACUGAAAUCAACCAAUAAUGAUCUUUUCUGUUGCAGUUAUUAAACCGUGUUAAAUAUAUAU